UGUGAUUGUUACGCAACAGUACAUUUAACCCUCAAACCAAGGCACGCAGCCUGUUUUUAUUUAUAGGCUGUUUUCAACUUGUCAAAUUAUUUUCUAACAAGUUUUUUUAUUUUCUAAGAACAGUUUUAAUUGAGGUGUGUUCCGCCUCAUAUAUUCACAUAAAAGUCAUCAUUUUUACUUAGGUAAUGAGGUAACGUUACUAAUUUCAUAACCUUUAUGGUGUUAUACUCAAUGCUUAGGUAGGUAGCUACAUUAUUCUAUUAGCUCUGGAAAACAAUGCUAAUUGCGUCAGAGAGGUAUUAGCGUGUGUUGUAUUUUGAAGAUUUCCUGGCCUUAUGACUCCCAAGUGGCGCAAUUGUUUAAGGCAAUGUCUCAGUGCUAGAGGCGUCACUACAGACACCUAGGUUCAAAUCUAGACUGCGUUUCUAUCAAAGUGGUCCACCUUCCCUGUGGCCGGCGUGGUAGCUGUGUGGAGAGUACAUGGAUGUCUCGUUUGUCAUGCCACUUUACUGCCAGGUGUUGACAUUUUCUAUUUUGUAUAACGACUCAUUUAGGAUGGCAGUAGCAUUGUUGAUGAAAUGCUGUCAUAGCAGCAGAACUAGGAAACAGUCUUGGGAAAAGAGGGUGGCAAAGAAGGGAGUUGCAACCAUAGGAUCUGUGCUCCAGUAUUCUCUUAUGGAGUUCUUCUUUACUAUCCCCAUGAGAAGGACUGUCACCAGAAAGGUAUACAUUUCACUAAUUGUGGUUAUCCCCCCGACUCCUGGCUCUCUCUUCUCCUGUAGCUCCAAGGCAUAGCGUUUGGUCUCUGCUAUGUCUCCCACCAGCUCCUCUGUCAGAAACAACUUGAAGCACUCUGCCUCAGAUGAAAAUGGCAAGGGGCGUUGCCCUCCAGACUGGGACUCAUCAAAGCAAACAGCAGGGUCAGGAAGGGUGAAAUGGCUGUCAGCCUUCCAGCUACCACAGGAUUCCUGUAUUUCAUCCAUUGUUGGCCUGCCUCCAUCACCACCAGCAUCUUCAAAGGGAACUGGGACUUUGUCAGUGGACAAAGGGUCCUCAGGUUCCUGGUCCUCAAUGGCUGGGGGGCAGCUCCUCACUGUCACUGUCAAAAUCUGAUUCCUGACUUUUAGACUCAUUGUCAGAAUUGUAAAAAAUCUCCAGAAUUUCCACAUUUGUAAGUUGUCUCCUUUUGAAAGACAUUGCUAAUGCUACAGCUUAGCUCACUAGCUACAUACAGUACAUAAACAACAACACUGAAUGGGCUCAGAGUGGGAGUGAGAGGUUAUGUGAUUGACUGCCUGCACGUGCCAUUUGUAUCAAAUCACUAUCAUAAAAUGUUUUGUUUGGUAAUUAUUGAUAUAUUUACUGUUUUAUUCACAUGUUUUUCAAGUACCUGUGAUAAAUCAUGCAUUCCAAUUAUUGCAUAGAUUGUAAUGGGCAUAUUAUUAUGUGUGUAAAAUACUUUUUUGAAGGUUGUACUGAUUAUGAUGAGCUAAGCUAAAUCCAGCUAGGUGUGGAGCCAUGUUUGUUGACAUACAAUGCAUUCUGGGUUUUACGUAAUCGUCUGUCAGACCAAAGAUGCUAUAACAAAAUGAGGUGAGUAAGGGUUCACUAAUUUUUUGAGAACUUCAGGAAGUGAAUGGUGGGAUGUGAACAAUGGCAGACGACACACCCCUUCAACUUGUAUACUAUAAAGAGACCAAACUCAUCUCGUCUUACCUUUGAUUUCUGUGAGGGGAAAAAAGCAUGGCGGUAGCUGAAACUAACUGUCGGAUUAGUUUCGAUUUCUAGAAAGUGUUUUACUAUAAUUCAUUUGUUCAAUGGUGAGUUCACCCGUGAUGUGAGUAAUUAUAAAGAGUAAUUGCUAUUAUCUAAUUCAUAUUGUAAUUUGUCAGCCGAGAGUUAUACAAUAUAACCGCUUGUGUUGCAUCAAUCCUUCCUCAGUUAGCGCUAGGACAAAUGUAGCCUACAUUUUUCCAGUUUGGAUGAUUGCGUUAAGCUAUAGAUACUUCUGUGAAUAUCUGAACAUUGCAUCCAAAAAUAAACUGCUCACAUUCUGGACAUAACUUUUAUAAGGACUGUGUUUGUGCAAAAUGUUUCCGAAAAAACAGUGUGGAAGACUGCACUCUGGUCAGAUGAGACUAAAAUUGAGCUUUUUGGCCAUCAAGGAAAACUCUAGCGCAAACCCAACACCUCUCAUCACCCCGAGAACACCAUCUCCACAGUGAAGCAUGGUGGUGGCAGCAUCAUACUGUGGGGAUGUUUUUCAUCGUCAGGGACUGGGAAACUGGUCAGAAUUGAAGGAAUGAUGGAUGGCGCUAAAUACAGGGAAAUUCUUGAGAGAAACCUGUUUCAGUCUUCCAGAGAUUUGAAACUGGGAUGUAGGUUCACCUUCCAGGAGGAUAAUGACCCUAAGCAUACUGCUAAAGCAACACUUGAGUGGUUGAAGAGUAAACAUUGAAAUGUCUUGGAAUGGCUUAGUCAAAGCCCAGACCUCAAUCCAAUUGAGAAUCUGUGGAAUGACUUAAACAUUGCUGUAUACCAGCGGAACACAUCCAACUGGAAGGAGCUGGAUCAGUUUUACCUUGAAUAAUGGGCAUAAAUCCCAGUGACUAGACGUGCCAAGCUCAUAGAGAUAUACCCCAAGAGACUUGCAACUGUAACUUCUGCAAAAGGUGGCUCUUCAAAGUAUUGACUUUGGGGGGGUGAAUAGUUAUACACGCUCAAGUUUUCUGUUUCUGUUUCUUUUUUUCAUUUCACUUCACCAAUUUGGACAAUUUUGUGUAUGUCCAUUACAUGAAAUCUAAAUAAAAAUCCAUUUAAAUUACAGGUUGUAAUGCAACGAAAUAGGAAAAACGCCAAG
ensembl:lncRNA